rnacentral:misc_RNA from 1 species
AGAGCGUACAAUUGAUAAAUGGGUUCAAAAGCAGUUGAAGAUUUGAUACAGGCGUCAUCGGGAGUACAUUAUUCUGGAUUCCAUUUAGAAGAGCCACAUACUUCAGAGAUUGAGCAACCAGCAACUUCUAUAGAUGAACAUGUUAAGCAACCCUUUAUCAUAGGAGUUGCUGGAGGUGCUGCGUCAGGCAAGACUACAGUUUGUGAUUUGAUUAUUGAUCAGCUUCACGAUCAGCGUGUUGUCUUAGUUAACCAGGAUUCUUUUUAUCAGAAUUUGACUCCAGAAGAACUCACAAAAGUU